UGGGGAAUUUUUGUCAAUGGGGGAAACCCUGAACAAGCAACGCCGCGUGAAGGACGAAGACCCUCGGGUUGUAAACUUCUGUCGGAGGGGACGAAAGCGAUCGGUGUUAAUACCACCGGUCGUUGACGGUACCCUACGAGGAAGCCCCGGCUAACUCCGUGCCAGCAGCCGCGGUAAUACGGGGGUGGCAAGCGUUGUUCGGAAUUACUGGGCGUAAAGGGCGCGUAGGCGGGCGAGCAAGUCUCUCGUGAAAGCCCACGGCUUAACCGUGGAAUUGCGGGGGAAACUGCACGUCUUGAGUCCGGGAGAGGAGUGUGGAAUUCCCAGUGUAGCGGUGAAAUGCGUAGAUAUUGGGAGGAACACCGGUGGCGAAGGCGGCACUCUGGACCGGCACUGACGCUGAGGCGCGAAAGCGAGGGGAGCAAACGGGAUUAGAUACCCCCGUAGUCC
rnacentral:rRNA from 1 species